rnacentral:rRNA from 1 species
UCUGGCUCAGAUUGAACGCUGGCGGCAGGCCUAACACAUGCAAGUCGAACGGUAGCACAGAGAGCUUGCUCUCGGGUGACGAGUGGCGGACGGGUGAGUAAUGUCUGGGAAACUGCCCGAUGGAGGGGGAUAACUACUGGAAACGGUAGCUAAUACCGCAUAACGUCUUCGGACCAAAGUGGGGGACCUUCGGGCCUCACACCAUCGGAUGUGCCCAGAUGGGAUUAGCUAGUAGGUGGGGUAAUGGCUCACCUAGGCGACGAUCCCUAGCUGGUCUGAGAGGAUGACCAGCCACACUGGAACUGAGACACGGUCCAGACUCCUACGGGAGGCAGCAGUGGGGAAUAUUGCACAAUGGGCGCAAGCCUGAUGCAGCCAUGCCGCGUGUAUGAAGAAGGCCUUC